GUGGGAUGGAUGGAGGAAGGGAUAAAUGGAUGGAGGGAUGGAUGAAUGGACAGAUGGAUAAAUGGAUGGAUGGGUGGAUUGAAUGGAAGGAUGGAUGGGUGAAGGGAUAAAUGGAUGGAGGGAUGGAUGAAUGGACAGAUGUAUAAAUGGAUGGAUGGGUAGAUGGGUGGACAUGUGGACAGAUGGAUAAUGAUUGUGUACCUGGGGUAAAAUUCUCUCUACCAGACAGGUGAAUUUGGUUAGAGCACCUCAAGCUUUUUUACCA